rnacentral:tRNA from 1 species
AAGGGAGACCUAAUUCAGGUAGGAGACGAAAAAAAAGUAGUCCCAACCAAGAAUCAAUCCCAAAAGGUCGGAGCGAGGCGAAAUUGGCUUUCAAACUAGGUUCUGGGUUCACACAAGACCUGAAUCAGGAACAAGGGCUAUUAGCUCAGGUGGUUAGAGCGCACCCCUGAUAAGGGUGAGGUCCCUGGUUCGAGUCCAGGAUGGCCCACCUGCACAGGUGGCAAAAACAAGAGAAGCGAGGAAUCAGCACCUUAUCUUAUCUAUAUAUAUAUAGGAGAGAAUGCUGGCUCUGAGUAAAGAGUCCAGAGGAACCUUGAAAACUGCAUAGAGCUAGGUGAAAAAGCCAAAAAAGAAGACCGCCUCAA